rnacentral:rRNA from 1 species
UAGGGAAUCUUCCGCAAUGGACGCAAGUCUGACGGAGCAACGCCGCGUGAGUGAAGAAGGAUUUCGGUUCGUAAAACUCUGUUGUUAGAGAAGAACAGCGCAUAGAGUAACUGUUAUGCGUGUGACGGUAUCUAACCAGAAAGCCACGGCUAACUACGUGCCAGCAGCCGCGGUAAUACGUAGGUGGCAAGCGUUGUCCGGAUGUAUUGGGCGUAAAGCGAGCGCAGGCGGUCAAUUAAGUCUGAUGUGAAAGCCCCCGGCUCAACCGGGGAGGGUCAUUGGAAACUGGUUGACUUGAGUGCAGAAGAGGAGAGUGGAAUUCCAUGUGUAGCGGUGAAAUGCGUAGAUAUAUGGAGGAACACCAGUGGCGAAGGCGACUCUCUGGUCUGUAACUGACGCUGAGGUUCGAAAGCGUGGGUAGCAAACAGG